CUACGGGAGGCAGCAGUGGGGAAUAUUGGACAAUGGGGGAAACCCUGAUCCAGCAAUGCCGCGUGUGUGAAGAAGGCCUGCGGGUUGUAAAGCACUUUCGGUUGGGAGGACUGCUUCUAGCACUAAUAUUGUUGGAAGUUGACGUUACCUUCAGAAGAAGCACCGGCUAGCUCCGUGCCAGCAGCCGCGGUAAUACGGAGGGUGCGAGCGUUAAUCGGAAUUACUGGGCGUAAAGCGCGCGUAGGCGGCUAGAUCAGUCGGGUGUGAAAGCCCCGGGCUUAGCCUGGGAACUGCAUCCGAUACUGUCUAGCUUGAGUACAGGAGAGGAGAGUGGAAUUCCACAUGUAGCGGUGAAAUGCGUAGAUAUGUGGAGGAACACCAAUGGCGAAGGCAGCUCUCUGGCCUGAUACUGACGCUGAGGUGCGAAAGCGUGGGGAGCAAACAGGAUUAGAUACCCUCGUAGUC
rnacentral:rRNA from 1 species